rnacentral:lncRNA from 1 species
GCUGUGUCGAGUCGGGAAGGGCCACGGCCGUGACUUCGUUGCGGUUGCCGGAAAUUGAGGGUUGUCUGUGGUACUCUGUUCUCACAUAGAGAAAGAGAGUCGGGAGUGAGUCGAGAUUUUGGAGAGAGGCUGGGCACGACGGUGACUCGCCGUUGCUGCUUGGCCAAGGGCGGAGAGAGAUGUAUCGCAGCUCGCUCGCUGCGACUGCCGGAGGACUUGAAGGGGGGCAGCGGCGCUUCGCCGUUGUCAAGGAUAGAUGGAGGUGGUCGAGAGCAGCAGCAGUUACCGUGGGGCUGUUGUUGUCUGACCAGAGGAGAGGAGAAUGGGCGGCGACCAGCUACUGGUCGUGGCAGCCGGAGUUCAGCGGAGGGAGUUCAGGCGGCGGCCAUGGAUGUCCUGUGGUCGCCGGAUUCGAGAGGAAGGAGGUGCCGCUGUGCUCGGCUACUGUCAGAGAGAAAGCUGGUAGCGGUGGCUCGUCGCUGCUGCGUCUCCGGCGAGUCUCCACGGUGGCGAGUCAGUUUGAUGAGUGAGGAUGAGGGAGAAGGGGGUUUGGCGUGAAGUGAGGAUGAGGGAGAAGGGGGUCUGGUGGAACCAAAGUAAAGGAGAGAGUAAGAUGAUGUGGUGAUUCGGCGGGCGGCGGCCAGUCGCCGGAGGAGGAGCCGUGGCGGCGGAAAUUUGAGGGAGCCGAGAGAGGGAGAG